CGAAGGGUGCAAGCGUUACUCGGAAUUACUGGGCGUAAAGCGUGCGUAGGUGGUUCGUUAAGUCAGAUGUGAAAGCCCCGGGCUCAACCUGGGAAUUGCAUUUGAUACUGGCGGGCUAGAGUGCGGUAGAGGAGAGUGGAAUUCCCGGUGUAGCAGUGAAAUGCGUAGAGAUCGGGAGGAACAUCAGUUGCGAAGGCGGCUCUCUGGACCAGCACUGACACUGAGGCACGAAAGCGUGGGGAGCAACCAGGAUUAGAUACCCUGGUAGUCCACGCCCUAAACGAUGCGAACUGGACGUUGGGAGCAAUCAGGCUCUCAGUGUCGAAGCUAACGCGUUAAGUUCGCCGCCUGGGGAGUACGGUCGCAAGACUG
rnacentral:rRNA from 1 species